rnacentral:rRNA from 1 species
AGCGAACGCUGGCGGCAGGCUUAACACAUGCAAGUCGAGCGGGCACUUUCGGGUGUCCGCGGCGGACGGGUGAGUAACGCGUGGGAACGUGCCCUCUGGUUCGGAAUAACUCAGGGAAACUUGAGCUAAUACCGGAUACGCCCUUUUGGGGAAAGGCUUGCUGCCGGAGGAUCGGCCCGCGUCUGAUUAGCUAGUUGGUGAGGUAACGGCCCACCAAGGCGACGAUCAGUAGCUGGUCUGAGAGGAUGAUCAGCCACACUGGGACUGAGACACGGCCCAGACUCCUACGGGAGGCAGCAGUGGGGAAUAUUGGACAAUGGGCGCAAGCCUGAUCCAGCCAUGCCGCGUGAGUGAUGAAGGUCUUAGGGUUGUAAAGCUCUUUUAUCCGGGACGAUAAUGACGGUACCGGAGGAAUAAGCCCCGGCUAACUUCGUG